GUACUCCCUUCAUGGGCACAUAUACUAAAACUGGAAUGAUACAGAGAAGAUUAGCAUGUCACCUGCUCAAGGAUGACAUCAAAUUCUUGAAGUGUUACACACACAC